rnacentral:rRNA from 1 species
GACGAACGCUGGCGGCGUGCCUAAUACAUGCAAGUCGAACGCAGUGGGGACGGUUGCGUAAAACGUGGGUAACCUCCCAUCAGAGGGGAUAACACUUGGCAACAGGUGCUAAACCGAUACUGGUGUAGGGACCCGCGGGGCAUUAGCUAGUUGGUGGGGUAACGGCUCACCAAGGCCACGAUGCAUAGCCGACCGGAGAGGGUGAUCGGCCACACUGGAACUGAGACACGGUCCAGACUCCUACGGGAGGCAGCAGUAGGGAAUCUUGCGCAAUGGACGAAAGUCUGACCGAGCAAUGCCGCGUGAGUGAAGAAGGUUUUCGGAUCGUAAAACUCUGUUGGUAGAGAAGCGGUAUCUAACCAGAAAGCCACGGCUAACUACGUGCCAGCAGCCGCGGUAAUAC